AUUGAACGCUGGCGGCAGGCCUAACACAUGCAAGUCGAGCGGAGCUGCGGACGGGUGCGUAAUGCCUAGGACUCUGCCUGUUAGUGGUGGCUAACGUCCGGAAACGGGCGCUAAUACCGCAUAAUAUCAGAUCUGUCUAGGUUGGUUUAGCUUGUUGGUGGGGUAAAGGCCUACCAAGGCGACGAUCCGUAACUGAGCUGAGAGGAUGAUUAGUCACACUGGAACUGAGACACGGUCCAGACUCCUACGGGAGGCAGCAGUAGGGAAUAUUGGGAAAUGGGCGAAAGCCUGAUCCAGCCAUGCCGAGUGAGUGAAGAAGGUUUUCGGAUUGGAAAGCACUUUAGGUUGGGAAGCGUUACCAACAGAGAAAGCACCGGCUAACUACGUGCCAGCAGCCGCGGUAAUAC
rnacentral:rRNA from 1 species